UAUGUGAUCGUCUCUCGCAUAUCAAUAAGCGGAGGAAAAGAAACUAACAAGGAUUCCCCUAGUAACGGCGAGUGAGGCGGGAAGAGCUCAAAUUUGAAAUCUUAAAGGGUUUCCCUUUACGAAUUGUAGUUUAAAGAAGUGUUUUCUGUUGAGGUUUUGGUAAAAGUUCUUUGGAAUAGGACAUCAUAGAGGGUGAGAAUCCCGUAUUUGACCUUUACUUUCAACUUUGUGAUACACUUUCAAAGAGUCGGAUUGUUUGGGAAUGCAGUCCAAAAUGGGUGGUAAAUUUCAUCUAAAGCUAAAUAUUGGCGAGAGACCGAUAGCGAACAAGUACCGUGAGGGAAAGAUGAAAAGAACUUUGAAAAGAGAGUUAAACAGUACGUGAAAUUGUCAAAAGGGAAGCGUUUGACACCAGUGUUGUUUUUCUGAAAAUCAAUUAAAGAACUGUUUAUGCUAAGUUGUUUAGACUUUAUCAGCUAACUGUUUAGUUUUGAGCUUUUCUUUAAUGCACUUUUCAGUUAACAAGUCAACAUCAAUUUCUUUUGCUGUAUAAAAAGCUUGAGGAAGGUGGCUUGAGAUUCGUCUUAAGUGUUUAUAGCCUCUUGCCUAUGCAGUCGGAGAGAUUGAGGUCUGCAGCGUAGAUCCUUCGGGGCUAAAUGCAUUUGUGCUAAGUUAUAGCAUUUUAUAGACAACUUGUUGACUAUGAUUUGUCUUGUAGCUUACUCGCUUAUGUUAUUUUACCUACGCUUAGGAUGUUGAAGUCAUCGUAUCGCGC
rnacentral:rRNA from 1 species